rnacentral:rRNA from 1 species
UACGAAGGGGGCUAGCGUUGCUCGGAAUCACUGGGCGUAAAGGGCGCGUAGGCGGCCAAGUAAGUUGGGGGUGAAAGGCCCGUGGCUCAACCACGGAAUUGCCUUCGAUACUGGCGAUCUUCGAGUCCGGGAGAGGUGAGUGGAACUGCGAGUGUAGAGGUGAAAUUCGUAGAAUAUUCGCAAGAACACCAGUGGCGAAAGGCGGCCUCAGCUGGCCCGGUACUGACAGCCGUGAGGUGCGAAAGCG